UACGUAGGGAACAAGCGUUGUCCGGAAUCAUUGGGCGUAAAGCGCGCGUAGGUGGCCCCGUAAGUCCGCUGUGAAAGUCAAAGGCUCAACCUUUGAAAGCCGGUGGAUACUGUGGGACUAGAGUACGGAAGAGGCGAGUGGAAUUCCUGGUGUAGCGGUGGAAUGCGCAGAUAUCAGGAGGAACACCAAUAGCGAAGGCAGCUCGCUGGGACGUUACUGACACUGAGGCGCGAAAGCGUGGGGAGCGAACAGG
rnacentral:rRNA from 1 species